CCUACGGGGGGCAGCAGUGGGGAAUUGUUCGCAAUGGGCGCAAGCCUGACGACGCAACGCCGCGUGGAGGAUGACGGUCUUCGGAUUGUAAACUCCUGUUGCCCGGGACGAAAGGCCUCCGGCUGAAUACGCCGGGGGUCGGACGGUACCGGGUGAGGAAGCCCCGGCUAACUCUGUGCCAGCAGCCGCGGUAAUACAGAGGGGGCAAGCGUUGUUCGGAAUUACUGGGCGUAAAGGGCGCGUAGGCGGCCGGCUAAGUCGAACGUGAAAGCCCCGGGCUCAACCCGGGCAUGGCGUCCGAGACUGGUCGGCUCGAAUCCGGGAGAGGGAUGCGGAAUUCCAGGUGUAGCGGUGAAAUGCGUAGAUAUCUGGAGGAACACCGGUGGCGAAGGCGGCAUCCUGGACCGGCAUUGACGCUGAGGCGCGAAAGCCAGGGGAGC
rnacentral:rRNA from 1 species